GCGCUGAUUCGACUACUGAAAUAAAAGUAUUGGUGGAAUUUUGUCUUAAUGUUGAUAGACAAAAUAUGGUCUCAGGAUCAAAUACUGCUGGGAUACUUAGGAUCUUAUGUUAUGAUUUAUUUUAUGAUGUGCCUAAGGAGGUAGCAGAGAAGAAGUGAAUGUUAUGAUGUCUCAGAGGGAUGUUGACCUCAAUUGCAAUAAGAGACUAGCAGAAUCCCUUGAUGCCGAAUUCAAAAGAUGGUCCAUUGGGAAGGAGGGGAACUUGCGCGCAUUGCUCUCAACCCUGCAAUAUAUCCUUGGUCCUGGUAGUGAUUGGCAACCAAUAUCCCUGACAGAUAUUAUAAUGUCUGAUGCUGUAAAGAAAGCUUACCGAAAAGCCACUCUCCAUGUCCAUCCAGACAAGUUGCAGCAGCAAGGGGCAAGCAUCCGGGAAAAGUACAUUUGCGAGAAGAGUUUUUCGAGAAGCUGUUACUUUUCCCCAAAUGCAUCCCAAUCCAAUAUCAAUUUAUAAUUCAAAUUCUCAAGUCUGAACAAGGAGGGGCAUUGGGUGGCAUCUGCUGAAAAGUGAAGAACUAAUUUCUCAUAUGAGUCCGUCGAGCGAAAUUUACUAGCAUUGCAGGAUGAUUGAUUCUGCUCCACUGACCAUGUAUACAAAAGCUGGAUAUAUAUUGUUAAGACUGACAAUAUAUUGGUUUGGUUAACAUUGCAGAAACGUAAAUAUUUAAUGCUCAAGCAACAUCCAAUCACUGAUAGUUCUUCAGAUAGAAUAUAACCUUCACGGCCAACUGUGAAGAAGGUGAUGAUACUAAUGCUCAGUCUCAGUUGCAGACUUCUAGAACUUCUAGAUAUCAUUGGAAUUAUCAAAAUACACGAUGAUCUGAGGGAGAUAAAAAACAGACAUGAAAACAGACAAAGGCAAGCCAAAUUUAUCAGAGAUACAUAUGUACAUCUGAUGAGUAAAAUAAUUGUCUGCUUCCGGCCUACGUAUUAUUAUUGUAUUGCAUUCUUUUUUUUAUGUAAAAUUAGUUGUAUAACAUAACCAACAUGUUUUCUGUUGUGUAUACAAUGAUUUAAUAUCAGUACUAAAUUUGAGUUUCGAGGUCUGGAUGUUGUAAUUGAUCAUUAGUUGAAUGAAACUAGCACUGAGAAAAUACAGAAUAUAGUUUCAUUGUCAAAGAAGAUAGUUUUGGGUGAGACUGUGAGACAUUGUCCUGCAUUGGUGGAAAUCUGGCAGAAAAAUGGUGUUGAUGAUUGGUGCACAGUGUAGAGAGAAAAUGGAUUUUGGGGGAUAGUUAAGACAGAAAUGAGAUGAGGGGAGGGGAGGUACUGUUAAAAGAUUUGAUUUGCCCUUCUUUGAAUAUUUUUUUUUCUUUUAUUUGAAGCCGUAUGUGAUAAUAUUCAAUUUAAGAACAAAAUGUUGAUAUGUUAUUAAUUCCAAUAAUUAAUAAUAUUCAUAUAUCAUAUAAGUUUUUUUUUUUGGGAGUUUGAUAUUUGAAAUCAUAAUUUUUAAAGAUGGAGGCAUGGCCGUUAAAAACAAAUUGUACGAAACAGUUUCUCAUUUAUAUCUAUUUUACUCAUAAUUACAUUAAUAUUUGAGUGGUUUAUAUUAAAUAAAUUUAGUUUGAGUCUAAUUUUACUAGAUAAAAUCAUGAAUAUUAGACUA